rnacentral:rRNA from 1 species
UACGUAGGGUGCGAGCGUUGUCCGGAAUUAUUGGGCGUAAAGGGCUCGUAGGCGGUUUGUCGCGUCGGGAGUGAAACCCAGGGCUUAACCCUGGGCUGGCUUUCGAUACGGGCAGACUAGAGGUAUGCAGGGGAGAACGGAAUUCCUGGUGUAGCGGUGAAAUGCGCAGAUAUCAGGAGGAACACCGGUGGCGAAGGCGGCAUCCUGGACCGGCAUUGACGCUGAGGCGCGAAAGCUAGGGGAGCAAACGGG